rnacentral:rRNA from 1 species
AACCGGAUUAGAUACCCUGGUAGUCCACGCCGUAAACGAUGUCGACUUGGAGGUUGUUCCCUUGAGGAGUGGCUUCCGGAGCUAACGCGUUAAGUCGACCGCCUGGGGAGUACGGCCGCAAGGUUAAAACUCAAAUGAAUUGACGGGGGCCCGCACAAGCGGUGGAGCAUGUGGUUUAAUUCGAUGCAACGCGAAGAACCUUACCUACUCUUGACAUCCGGCGAACUUUCCAGAGAUGGAUUGGUGCCUUCGGGAACGCUGAGACAGGUGCUGCAUGGCUGUCGUCAGCUCGUGUUGUGAAAUGUUGGGUUAAGUCCCGCAACGAGCGCAACCCUUAUCCUUUGUUGCCAGCGAUUCGGUCGGGAACUCAAAGGAGACUGCCGGUGAUAAACCGGAGGAAGGUGGGGAUGACGUCAAGUCAUCAUGGCCCUUACGAGUAGGGCUACACACGUGCUACAAUGGCGCAUACAAAGAGAAGCGACCUCGCGAGAGCAAGCGGACCUCACAAAGUGCGUCGUAGUCCGGAUCGGAGUCUGCAACUCGACUCCGUGAAGUCGGAAUCGC